rnacentral:rRNA from 1 species
CCUACGGGAGGCAGCAGUGAGGAAUAUUGGUCAAUGGGCGGGAGCCUGAACCAGCCAAGCCGCGUGAGGGAAGAAGGUACAGCGUAUCGUAAACCUCUUUUGUAAGGGAACAAAGGCGGGGACUAGUCCACGGAUGAGGGUACCUGAAGAAAAAGCAUCGGCUAACUCCGUGCCAGCAGCCGCGGUAAUACGGAGGAUGCGAGCGUUAUCCGGAUUUAUUGGGUUUAAAGGGUGCGCAGGGGGCCUGUUAAGUCAGCGGUAAAAGCCUGGGGCACAACCACGGCUUGCCGUUGAAACUGGCAGGCUUGAGUUGGAGAGAGGUACGCGGAAUGCGCGGUGUAGCGGUGAAAUGCUUAGAUAUCACGCAGAACCCCGAUUGCGAAGGCAGCUUACCGGCUCCACACUGACGCUGAUGCACGAAAGCGUGGGUAUCGAACAGGAUUAGAUACCCCAGUAGUC